rnacentral:rRNA from 1 species
UACUGAAGGUGCAAGCGUUAAUCGGAAUUACUGGGCGUAAAGCGCGCGUAGGCGGUUUGUUAAGUUGGAUGUGAAAGCCCAGGGCUCAACCUUGGAACUGCAUCCAAUACUGCCAGGCUAGAGUACGAGAGAGGGGGGUAGAAUUCCUAGUGUAGCGGUGAAAUGCGUAGAUAUUAGGAGGAAUACCAGUGGCGAAGGCGGCCCCCUGGCUCGAUACUGACGCUGAGGUGCGAAAGCGUGGGGAGCAAACAGGAUUAGAUACCCCCGUAGUCC